rnacentral:rRNA from 1 species
CCUACUGGGCGCUGCAGUAGGGAAUUUUCGUCAAUGGGCGCAAGCCUGAACUAGCAAUGCCGCGUGAACGAGGAAGGUCUUCGGAUCGUAAAGUUCUGUUGAAGGGGAAGAAGAGCGGAGAGAGGAACUGAACUCCGCUUGAUAUUACCCUUAGAGGAAGUCACGGCUAACUACGUGCCAGCAGCCGCGGUAAUACGUAGGUGGCGAGCGUUAUCCGGAAUGAUUGGGCGUAAAGGGUUCGUAGGCGGCCUGCUAAGUCUGGAGUGAAAGGUACCGGAUCAACCGGUACAGGCCCUGGAAACUGGCGGGCUAGAGAGCAGGAGAGGGCGGUGGAACUCCAGGUGUAGCGGUAAAAUGCGUAGAUAUAUGGAAGAACACCAGUGGCGAAGGCGGCCGCCUGGCCUGUUACUGACGCUGAGGCACGAAAGCGUGGGGAGCAAACAGGAUUAGAUACCCGAGUAGUC